GGCCCAACCAAACUGGCCUUCGGCGGCCCAGCACAGCAGCUUAUCACGGCCAAAACCGCCAAACCCUAGUUGUGCAUGCAUAGCCCCUCACGCCAGCCGCCAACGCCCCAAUCCCGUAACCGCAGCCUCGCCCCGCUCACAUCUUCCUCUCCCUCUCAGCGCUGGUGCUCAAUCUAUAGGUCGUCCCACUCCCUACACACCCGCCCUCCGGUGUGAACCUCCAUGACGUCUGCAACCACUCUUCGAUCUGCUGUCGUGACCUCAUCCAGCCGUGCUGUGGCAGUGGAUCGGAGUUCGCUCCAGCUCUGAUUGGGGGGAAAUGACUAGGGUAUCAAGUGGAAAAACAUAAUGGUCCAGGUUCUACUGCACCUCUUUCAGGCUAAGCAUCUAAACAACAAUAUGUAAAUUAUCCUUUUCCAAUAAAAUACAUGCUUAAACCGUGGCUGCUAGGCAAAUGGUCCUACUUUGGUCAUCAAAUGCAGGAAUUCCACUACUAUAUGUGCCACUUGAAGUUGUUAUGUCAAAAUAUUAUGGUGAAAGCGAGCGUCUAUUGGGAUCUAUUUUUUAUCUUGCAAAUGAUCUUCCUGAAAGAGGUAAUAUAUUCUUAGAUGAGGUAUAUAUCGUAAUACUUAUAGCAUAAGCACUCAAGCCACUACAAGUAAGCUCCUGCCCUUUGCUUGUUUCCAGAUUGAUAUGUCAAGAUACGCUUGUUUCACUUGAGCUCACUGUUAUCUGAAAAUCUAUAGACUGCCUUCGUCCCCUUCAUCACUACCGAUGACCGUGACUUGGCCACCACAGCAAAAGCACGCAGGAUCCUUGAUGUGUGUGGUCUAGACGUGAUUGAAUUGGGCGUGCCUGACUUUGAUCCAUUAGUUGAAUGUCCAGCAACUCAAAUUGUUUGCCUAUACAAUUUGUUCUUAUACUAUAUUGUCUAUGUAUGCUCCUGCUUCCUGCGUUUUGGUUUACACUAGUUUAGGCCUCCUCGACACGCGCUCUGGCGAAGUGCACCACAUUUGAGGAUGUCAUCUCCAUAGUAAAGUGGGUGAUACCUGACCUAUUUUGCCCUAACAUGUAGCACUUUCACAUAUUACAACCUGAUUCUUUUGCGUGGUACCCCCAACAUGAGCGUUGUUAUAACCUCAUUCUUGUGAUGUUCACUCCCAUUAAAAUACCAUUACAUUAAGUAGAUAAUCUGGUAAUAGGACAUCUAGAUAAUUUUGGUAAUUGACCUUGGGGGAAAAUGGUACAUCCAAUUACUGCUUACAAAUUGAUCUUUUUACGGUUCUGCUUAUCGCGUUUGUGCAUUGCGUUUUUUCGUUCAAUUGUUUUAGUUUUACAUAUUUUAUGUUAUUUGAAUAACUAUAGAUAUAUAUCCAAACUGCACUAGUAGAGAAAACUCUUAAAACGCAUGUCCCAAUAUAGAUAUAAUAUGAAGGAUUAUUGUGCUUAAACAAAUUUUAGAUUAUGGGCAUAGCCUACUUAGUUCAUACUGAAAUGAAUAAAUUUAUGCAUUUUCAAACUAAAUUUUACGACACUUCUUGUUGUGUUUUAUGUUUCUAUUAAAAAACAGUCUUACUGCGUUUUACACCAAAUUUAUGACACUUUUUGAUGUGUUUUACAGCAAUCUAGGUGCCACCAGUGUGGGCGCAACCCAUCACGAGGCGAUGCUGGCGAGCCAGCCAUAGCGCGACAUCUCCGUCCGCGUCGUUAAUCCCUAUGGGUGUGCAACAGCAGCGGUAUUCAACAUGUUAGGUAAAAGUAUCGAUGCAGACCAAAGAUUAACACUUGAUGGAGACAAGUUGACCACUGACCUUGCUGGUCUAUUUACUAGAACAUCAAAGAGUCCUGCAUACCAUGUUUAUGUCAUGAGAAGUAAUAGGAAGUAGAGGAUAUCUAGGUGGUUUUGGCAAUGUAUUUAGUGAUUUUAACCAUUCACCCUCUAAUGCAAAGGAAUACCCCCUUGCCUUGCCAUCACGAUUAUUUUGUCCUCUUUCUGUUGCCUUGGCAAGUCAAGAUUCUACAUAUGCAUAUUUUAAAAUUGCUGGACUCAUGUAUGCUAAAAAUUGUACUUAUUUACGCAGUUUUGAUUCUGUUUUAUGCUUAAA